rnacentral:rRNA from 1 species
UACGUAGGUGGCAAGCGUUGUCCGGAUUUACUGGGCGUAAAGAGCGCGCAGGCGGUCGGAUCAGUCGAAUGUGAAAGCCCCCGGCUCAACUGGGGAGGGUCAUUCGAUACUGUCCGACUCGAAGGCAGGAGAGGGAAGCGGAAUUCCCGGUGUAGUGGUGAAAUGCGUAGAUAUCGGGAGGAACACCCGUGGCGAAGGCGGCUCUCUGGGACGGUACUGACGCUGAGACGCGAAAGCGUGGGGAGCGAACAGG